rnacentral:rRNA from 1 species
ACGCUCGACACCUACUGGAGGCAGCAGUGGGGAAUAUUGGGCAAUGGGCGCAAGCCUGACCCAGCAACGCCGCGUGAAGGAAGAAGGCCCUCGGGUUGUAAACUUCUUUUAACAGGGACGAAGGAAGUGACGGUACCUGUUGAAUAAGCCACGGCUAACUACGUGCCAACAGCCGCGGUAAUCUGAGCGGGCUGGCAAGGC